UGUGUGUGCGUAUGUGUAUAUAUAUAUAUAUAUAUAUAUAUAUAUAUAUAUAUCUUGGGGUAUAAGACCCCAAGCUAUUUUGUGCCUUGCCAAGACAUCUGGAGUAAGGUUUGAUGUUUUAAAGGAUCAACUUGAUCUCCUGGUAUCCAAGGUCCCCGACGAACCUAUAUCACGGCAAGAAAUCCAAAAGAGGGCAGCUGUAUCGAACUCUCUCCUUCACCAAACGCCAGUCACGUAAGGUUGGACAUUGAAAAGAUAACUACGCUGGCGAUGCUCCUGCAUGGCCACAUGCUUAAGACUGAAACGUAUAAAAGAAUAAAAGAUUAUAUAUAGUAAGCUAUUGUACUCAUAUUAUACAUCUCUGUAUUAUUAGCAAAUAAAACCGUUUUUGUUUUUAUGUC